AUCACCAUGACCUAUCCACCUCAAUUAGGUUAAAAAAAAGAAAAUCUAUUCUAAAUGUAAUAGCAAAUUGCCACCGGCCACCCACCAGCUCCCCGGCCCCAAGCUAUGUAUCUACAUCAAUUAGGGUUAAUAAGAAGAAAAGGCUGGAAACACAAUUGAUGGUCAUGGUGAUGGUAAUACAGUUGAUGGUAGGAUGAUAAUCUCUAAUAGCUGUCCCCCUUUCUAUUCCGGUGGAUCGAAAGCCACAGCCAUCCAGUAUUGAAAAAAAAAGCAUUUGACUACUCCGGCGGCCGGCGGGGCUCGGAGGGGAAACAAAAAGCAAGUCUCUUCAACGUUUGAUCUGCUUUGCUGGUCAAUCAAUCCAUCUGCGGAUAAAGAGAGGUCAUGUUAAUAUUACCUUAUUGAUCAUGCUUGUAUUAUUAUUAAUGCUUGCAUUAUUAUUUGUCUGUUGAAUUUCAUAGGAUGGUAAUACAAUUUAUAUUGAUCUGCUCUCGUUGAUUUUUCGUAGGACGGUGAUACAAUUUUGAUGGUGGUGAUGAUUGAUCUGCUCUGUGUAAAAGAUUUGACAUCCAGAGAGUCCUUAGGCCCCUUCCCUUGGAAGCAAACA